rnacentral:sRNA from 1 species
GGAUCUAGUGGUAAUAUAUCGAUAGUGU